rnacentral:rRNA from 1 species
UACGAAGGGGGCAAGCGUUGUUCGGAAUUACUGGGCGUAAAGGGCGCGCAGGCGGCUCUGAAAGUCAGAUGUGAAAGCCCCGGGCUUAACCUGGGAAUUGCAUUUGAUACUCUGGAGCUUGAGUACGGGAGAGGAGAGUGGAAUUCCCAGUGUAGAGGUGAAAUUCGUAGAUAUUGGGAAGAACACCGGUGGCGAAGGCGGCUCUCUGGACCGUAACUGACGCUGAGGCGCGAAAGCGUGGGGAGCAAACAGG